UAGAACGAUUUAGACGUGCAGUUUUCGGCGUUUGUCCGUCGGCUGUGGGUUGCCACAAAAUAUUCAUGCCAAAAAAGAGUGCAAAACAUAUUCAUUUCUAUAUUCGUUCGUUUGAGACCGAUUGUGUCGAAAAUAAAUGAAAAACAACAACAAUCAUUAAAAAAAAAAAAUGUUAUUUUCGGUGAGAUACUCGUAUGUUGCGCCGAACAUUCUCUGCAUUUAAUCAUAAGUUGUGCGUCGAUCGAAUGAGAAUGUGCGUUGAGCCAAAUAUUUUUCACUCUUCCAACGUAAACACAUUCGGGUUGGAGAAUAAUUGUUAUUUGCUUUGUGGGCUGGCAUUUUUGCAUGAAAUCUAAUGGCAUAGACCUGGAUUGAUGUGAUGUUGUCGUUGUCGUUGAAAGAAAACAACAAAUCGUGCAUCACGAACACUUGGACCAGUGUCUCUUUUUUUAUCGGUUUCUCACAUAAAACCAUAAAUUACGGCAAACGCUCAUUCAAAGCUGUUCGUUUACCGAAACUCUUUUCAUUUUCAUUUUCUUUUCUCUCUCUCUCUUUAUCUCUCUCUGUUUCUCACACACACAUAUGAAAAACAAUUGUGUUCUUUUUAUUUUCAACAGCCGAAUGUGUGAUCAUCAUCAUCACCGCAAUAAUUCGCUUUGAUUUAAAAUCAAGAUUCAACCUCUCCACUCGUGCACUCGCAAUUCAAACGAUGAUGUGUGAAUCGAAUUGAAUGAUGAAAUAAGAGCUAAGGCAUCGAAUCCACUGAGAUAACCAUAAAAGUGACUUUUGCUUUAGAAUUUUCAGAAAUAAUUAUAAAAUUGAUUGUGCCCUUAUUUGGAUGGCGGUUUUUCGUGCAUGCAUAUUCAUGUCAUUCGUUCGUUCGUUCAUUCGGACGUAUACUUUACUCUUUUGUUCUAAAUCAAAUCGAACGAAUUAGACGAACAUAAUCAUAUACCUCUUUGUGUAUAAUUUUGCCAUACUCUUCGUGAAUGAUGACGCUUCCAAAAUGAGUCGUGAUCGUUUAAUAUGUAACUUGUGUAAUGAUGAGCUAGACAGUUAAGGAACAUUUUAUGAGAACUAAGCAGACAGCAGACAUAAUGAUGGUGGACUGGACAAAACGAUUGCUCAGCAGAACUCGAACAACCGAAUCACUGCAACGUUUGACCGGCUUGAUUCAUUCGCGUAAAAUGUUAAACAAUACACCACUUUUAUCGAUGUGCCCGAUAGAACGAGAGAAAGACACAGAGAGAGAGAAAGAGAUGGAGAGAGACACACACACAGAGCAAACUAGUCAGAUCAUGAUGAGUUUUGAGGCAUUGGAUACGUGAAACC